CGGACGGGUGAGUAAUGCUUGGGAAUCUGGCUUAUGGAGGGGGGUAACUACGGGAAACUGUAGCUAAUACCGCGUAGUGUCGAGAGACGAAAGGGUGGGACCUUCGGGCCACCUGCCAUAAGAUGAGCCCAAGUGGGAUUAGGUAGUUGGUGGGGUAAAGGCCUACCAAGCCGACGAUCUCUAGCUGGUCUGAGAGGAUGACCAGCCACACUGGAACUGAGACACGGUCCAGACUCCUACGGGAGGCAGCAGUGGGGAAUAUUGCACAAUGGGGGGAACCCUGAUGCAGCCAUGCCGCGUGAAUGAAGAAGGCCUUCGGGUUGUAAAGUUCUUUCGGUGAUGAGGAAGGCAACUACUUUAAUAGAGUAGUUGAUUGACGUUAGUCACAGAAGAAGCACCGGCUAACUCCGUGCCAGCAGCCGCGGUAAUACGGAGGGUGCGAGCGUUAAUCGGAAUGACUGGGCGUAAAGGGCACGCAGGCGGUGACUUAAGUGAGACGUGAAAGCCCCGAGCUUAACUUGGGAAUUGCAUUUCAUACUGGGUCGCUAGAGUAUUUUAGGGAGGGGUAGAAUUCCACGUGUAGCGGUGAAAUGCGUAGAGAUGUGGAGGAAUACCGAAGGCGAAGGCAGCCCCUUGGGAAUAUACUGACGCUCAUGUGCGAAAGCGUGGGGAGCAAACAGGAUUAGAUACCCUGGUAGUCCACGCUGUAAACGCUGUCGAUUUGGGGAUUGGGCUUUAAGCUUGGUGCCCGUAGCUAACGUGAUAAAUCGACCGCCUGGGGAG
rnacentral:rRNA from 1 species